rnacentral:ncRNA from 2 species
AUAAUUAAACAGGGGAGUUUGUGAGCAGACUGAGAGGAAGUUAUCGACUUCGACCCUUAACCUGAUUUGGAUAAUGCCAACGUAGGAAGUUAUAAGCUAGACUUU